rnacentral:lncRNA from 1 species
AAACCCGGUUAGUUUAGGAUUAAUUGAAUAUAAAACUCCAUUUUCGUUAAUCUCUUUUUCUCUGCCUCUCCUUCAUCCCAUUUUCUAGGAAAACACAUCAGAAAGUUGCAGAGAAUCAACUCAAGAACCAUAAGCAUGAGCACCUCACUAAUUCCUCUAAACCCACACUUUUCUAUCUAUUAAUUUCAAUCUCUCUAUUAAUAUAUCCCUUCCACUUCUUCUCUCACCCAAGAAAAACAGCCCCAGAUCAAGAAGCCACUAUUGAUGUAUGUUCAUCACCCACUUUCUCUCUCCUCAUCAUCUAAUUCACUUUCUGGGAAAUUUUCAUUCUCACCUUCAUACCCACCUCUAAUUAAUUUCUCUUUUUCCGCAAUUUCCACCUUCAUCCCCGCACACUUCUCAUUCUUUUUCUUUCCAUUCACUCUCAUCUUUGAAUUUUCCUGUGCUUUUUAGCCUCGAUAUCGGCCAUUAGAUUGUCAUUUAGGGUAAUGGUUUCCUUUACCAUGCAUCUUCUAAAGAGAAUUGUAUUAAUUGAAUGUUCCAGGAUAAUUUACUUUAUUACUUGUCAUACAUGUAUAUAUAUAUAUAGGGUUAAAUGCAAAGUCGACUAUUGAACUUUAGUGAUUUUUGAGUAUUGAGCCCCCUUCUUCCGGUCAACACAAAUUGAGUCAUUUCUAUUCAAAAAUUUGGACUUUAAACCCAUAGGGGCCACAUGUUAACCUGAUGAUGUGGCGCCUACGUAGCACACUUGACAGAUCUGACGUAGUAUUUUAUAUUGUAAUUCAGAUUUUAACUCGCAACCUCACAUUUGGAACCUUGGUCAUAUGACCGCUAGAGCAAUAAAGGUCAACAGUUAAUAUUUUGUAAGAAUUAAUCUUUAUAUCAAAACAUUUCAUUUUCCUCAAAAAAAUUAAAAUACUAUACAGAUCCUCGUCUUGCCUAACAUUAGCAGUUGUAGUACUAAUAAUAACAAUAACAAUAAUAAUAAUAA